rnacentral:rRNA from 1 species
UACGGGGGGGGCAAGCGUUGUUCGGAAUCAUUGGGCGUAAAGCGUGCGCAGGCGGUUAUAUAAGACAGUUGUGAAAUCCCCGGGCUCAACCUGGGAACUGCAUCUGUGACUGUAUAGCUAGAGUACGGUAGAGGGGGAUGGAAUUCCGCGUGUAGCAGUGAAAUGCGUAGAUAUGCGGAGGAACACCGAUGGCGAAGGCAAUCCCCUGGACCUGUACUGACGCUCAUGCACGAAAGCGUGGGGAGCAAACAGG